rnacentral:lncRNA from 1 species
UUGCUGGGGUGAAUAGAAAUGAAGAAACACAAAAGAAAGCUGCCAGUUGGAUAUGGGUAUUGUAGCUGAAAGGUCUUGCGAGCUGAGUCAGGCUCAGGGAGGCUGUGAUGGCAAUGAGAAGUCAACACACUGAGGAUGGAGAGAAAGAAGAUGAGUCUGGGAGAGAAAGAGAAUGAUUCUUCCGGCCGAGGGAAAGCAAGAAUAUCUGUUCCUGCAACUGCACUGAUUCUGGAAACACUCUCUAUUCGAACUCUCUUGAGAUGAAAAAACUGAGGUAUAAGAUGAUACAACUGGGCCAGGCAUGGUGGCUCACAUCUGUAAUACCAGCACUUUGGGAGGCCAAGGGAGGAGGAUCACUUGAACCCAGGUGUUUGAGACCAGCCUGAGAAAAACAGGAAGAACUCAUCUCUACAAAAAAAAUUAUCUAGUGCUGACCUGCUUGGUGAAUGCUGGGAUCUCUGGAAGAGGGAGGCAGACAUCACACACCAGCUGGCAAGUGGGAGCUGGCAUGCAACAUGCCCCAAUACCACUCCCCUCCUGUCAUCCCUAUCUCCUAAUGGUGCCUCCUUUUGGCCAAACCCACCUUUGGCUGGAGGGCAACAGAGCCCAUUGACAUAGUCCCCUUGCAUCUGCUACCUGGGGAGAAAAGCAGGAUGGACACUGAAUCUAGAGAAAUGAAGGAACCCAUCCAGAAGAAUACUGCUUCUUUAUGCUUUUGUAGGAACAGUGUCAUGGGAUGCUGGGGACAGCAGUUGGAGUGAUGCAUCUAUGGGCCAAGGGAAUGCCAAGGAUUGCCAGCCAUCACCAGGAGAGAAGCAUGGGUACUGAUGCCCUCACAGAGCCCUCGGAGAGAGUCAACCCUGCUGACACCUUGAUUUCAGACUUCCAGCCUCCAGAACUGUGAGAGAAUAAAUUUCUGUUGUCUUAAGCCACCCAGUUUGUAGCACUUUAUUAUGGCAGCCCUGGGAAACUAACACACUACCCUUAUUUUCAUGCUGAGGAAUGUAAGAUAGUUUUAGGCACCACCUGCUUCUAUGCAAGUUUUAUGAUCUCUCCUCCUAAUACUGCAGAAAUUAUGGGUUUUACCAUCUUAGUAUAUAGCAUAAUAUAUCCAGCACACAUUAUAUAUUUAGCACUUUAUUAGAGUACCCUAGUUUGCUCUUCUGAAAAACUGUGAGGCUGCAUUUGAUGCUUUCUAAGGCUUUUUUUCCCCUAUGUAUUCUCUGAUCAGAAUACCCUGCUCAAUGAAGCCACUGGCAAUGAAGCUCAUUAAAAAUGAAAUCACUUAGGCAGGGAGUUGGAGAGUGACUCAUUUAAAACAUUGCCUCCUGGAAACUGAAGUUCAUUGAACACAAAAGCUUUUGGAGGGACUCAGAUUGGUAGGGACUCUGCAGUCUGACAAAAGGGUCUGGUGACAGGGAGCAUCUGAUCCCAUCUAGGGAGGGUAGGGAGAGGGAGUCCAGAGAGGGAGGCAUAAACAAGCCUUCUUCAGACAUGCUACCUACGCCUCUCCCAUGGCUCCUGCAUGCUUGGAUGUUACACUUCUUUAAAGAGCAGGUGACAGGUUGCCCCUGGGACGCUCAGAGCCAGGCAAGGUGGGACUUGGCCCUGCUCCCCCUUCUUCUAUCUGAAAAGUUGCCCUCAGUCCCACGGGGCCCCUUCCUGUCACACCGACACAGCUUGCUGGUUUUUGUUUUCUUUCACUGUCAUUUUUCUUUUUUCAAAAGUUCCUCACAGGAAGUGUUUGGCAGGCAGCUCAGGCCCGGGCUGAGAUGGAGAAUCUAGCAAACUUGUCCCGCUGAUUGAUUAAACACUGAGGAGGCUCCAAGACCCAAGCAUGAAAUUCCUUGGCUCUGAUUGUGCUAAGGGUAGAGCUCACUAAUGAAUGGAGUCUGAUUACAGCCCAGCCUCUCCAGUGCCUCCUGUUGCCCCAAUUUGGGGGAUUCUUCUGCUUCGAGUACAUCAUGGAAAGCAGCACAGAGUUCUCAGCAGGAUCUGCGAUGUCUGAUCCAAGAAAGAUUUUUGUUGUUGUUGUCGUUGUUUUUUUAAUCCUGAUCGUUGCUCUCAAACCCUUCUCUACACAGCUUGGCGUGGGGGGUAGUUGAUUUCCAGUGAAACCAGGUGGAAGCAGUGCCACUGCCACCUGCGAGGAGGAAAUGGGCAACAGUCUGCUUCAUCCGUCCUGAACAUUCAGGCCUGAAUGUUCCAAACUGAUGCUAAACUGAGACUCUCUGAAGGCCCAUGGGGAAGCCUGGCAUUGUGUAACCAUUUCUUCUCGCAAGGCUCUCCCCUCACAUUCACAGCCUGCCACUUAAAGCUUUGGGAGACAAUGUAGUUGACCUGUAGUUCUUCCUGUAUGUGGUUCCUGGUCAGUCACUGGGCAAGGAGGAGGCUGCAGGCAUUGUGCUAUCCCCUUAUCUCUCUCUCUGUCUGUCUCUUAUCUAGUUAAAAUCAGCAAAUGGAGCUUGGUCCUUCGUUUGUAAAGUAAGGGGGUGGAAAAUUAUCCCUAAGUUACCUCCUGGUUUAGAAAAGUCUUAAUGCUGUUUUAUAAUAACUCACCCACCUCUCCUCUUCCAUGAGCUCAGAGCGGCCCAGCCCUUGGAAUAUGUUUCUGCCACAACAAGGAAUAUAGGAGGAGUUGAACAGGAAACCUGCCUCCUAUCAGAUUCACCUGAGGACGUGGGUUGUCACGAGCUCCCCAAACAAUAAAGCACUUUACGACAUAGGAGGCAUUAUUAUUAAGCUGUUUUCAGUCCCUGAUACCUGCAUGUUGUAGGACCAUGGUGCAUGAAGGAUUUUAAGGAGGCACUUUUGAAAUGUGAAAGGGACAUAGACUGUACAUCUGGAGCACAAAGGCAGGUUUAACCAGCUUUGUCCUGCUCGGCGCCAGUUGGAAGAGAGCAUCUGGCUUUGAAGUGUCUAAAGCCAGGCGUGACGCUGGAUUCUACAGCUGGGUUUUGCUUUGUCACCCAGGCUGGAGUGCAGUGGCGUGAUGGAGCUCAGUGCAGCCUUCAAUCCCUGGGCUCAAGGAAUCCUCUCACCUCAGCCUCCCAAAUAGCUAGGACUACAGGCUGGAGUGCAAUGGCAAGAUCUUGGCUCACUGAAACCUCCGCCUCCUGGAUUCAAGUGAUUCUCCUGCCUUAGCCUCCACAGUAACUGGGAUUACAGAUUUCUGAUAACUUUGGAGAUUGUGACAGCAGAAUAGAGGGAAAACUUUCUGUAAUCAUGGAGAGCUGAAAUAUUCAUGAAUAUCAAGCACAACAGGAAUUAACUGCAUAGACUGAACUAGUAGAAGACUGAAGUAAUCCUUUUGAGUUUUUGCUUAAAAUGUGGCUGAUCCUUUGUUUCAUUUUUCGGAAUCAAGGAAACUUUUCUUUUGAGGUAUUGACAGGUUUUAACAAUUAAAUACACUGUACUUCUAUGAAAGAAAUUUGGAGCAUAUUUGUUUCUCUCUAUCUGAUUUCUUCAGAAUUUAGAAACUAUGUGUGAGUGUUCUUAACUUAUGGAAAUACAGUUAUUUACAUAAGUACAAUAAGAAUCUGUUUUCAUUUGUAACAGACACAAUUAGAGAAACUAAUUAUUUUACCAAGGCUUUCACUGGAACAGUGUGCUUUCCUUUAAGGAAUCAAACUUUACUUACAGAGCCAAUGAAAGCCCCUUGGGAAAACUGGCCUCAUACCUUGUUUUCACUGUCCUGGUACAGGGUUCCUGACAUGGGAUAAGUAAAGAAUAUCGCUUUCUGACAGGCCAAGGAGCCCCAAGUCAUCUUGAGACCUCAAGAAGAAAGGAAUUCACCCAACUUAUAGGUAUUUGAUGGUACAAAUCCAUGGCUGGGCUCAGCUUUAAAAAAGUCUUAUCUAAGACUCCUUCUAUAGAACAAAGUUCCAUCAAAACCAAUUUAAAAAGCCCAUGUGAAAAAUAAUUAUUCUUUCUGCACCUUAUAGAAGUAAUCUGGCCAAGUAUAAUAAAGCAAAUUGGUACUACCAUAAUUUGACUUUAAAAUGGGAAAUUGGAGAGAAAAAAAUAUGUUUCAAAACUACAGUAUACCUUUUGUUGAUUCUAGUCUUGCCUAAUAUUUUUCACUUUUUAUUAUUUUCUGUAGUUUGGAUUGAACUCUAAUUUUCCCUGGCUACAAGUCUCCAAAAUAAUGUUUUCAAUUUUUUUCUUCCUUUUUCUUCUUUUCCUUUUCCCCUCAAUUUUUCCUAAUUUGAAAUCACUGAAAACUAAGUUGUGUUUUCUUAAAGCCCUGUGAACUGAAACUAGACAACUUAGCUUCAGAAGACAAUAAUAGCAACCUGUUUACAUACAUAAGCCAACUCUCAUAACUGCCUGCUGAUGUAUGGACUUCAGAGUAAUGUGGCC